GUGAAGAAGGGAAUGAGGGACGGAAAGAGAGAGACAGCGAAGAGAGGAGAAAGAGUUUCAGAAUUUGGCAAAAGUCUCAAGGCUCAAGCUGGUUGUCUGAAGCCUUUCAAACCCCCAGUUUUAUCACCACAUAUGAGGAACAUGAGAGCCACCUGGUGGAAGGUUUUAUUAGCAUGGAGGACGAGGGAGAGUUUGGCAGCUUGGCAGAGCUGCAGGUUGUGGAGAAGCAGCUGAGACAACAGCCCUGAGAGAGGAGAUCUGUGCUUCCCUGGAGCACAGGGCAGGUUGACACAUCAGCUGCGGAACAGUAUCUGGACCAGAAGCCUUUGCUCACUGUGAGAGACAGGCCGGGUCACUUACUUGCUCACCGCACAUGGGGGCUGAGUGGUGGCUGUUACAGAUCCAUGGAGGCCAGUGGUUGAGGCUCUGAAGGGGACAUGGCUGUCGCUGUGGGAGCAGGGAGCCAAGAAAACUGCUGAAGCAAGCAGCCUGCUUUCGGAGCCAAGCCCUGAGGGGCGGGUGUCGGGGCUUCCAUUCCAGGGUCAAGUGAGAAACCUUCAGCCAUCGGGGCGGGUGUCGGGGCUUCCAUUCCAGGGUCAAGUGAGAAACCUUCAGCCAUCGGGGCGGGUGUCGGGGCUUCCAUUCCAGGGUCAAGUGAGAAACCUUCAGCCACUUGGCAGAGACUCCACCAAUCCUGUGUUGAAGCCAGGCCCCAGCUGUGACAGCAAGGGGCCAAAGUCUUUUACCAAAAGGUAAAACAGGCUACCCAGAUGGGACGGGUGUGGCCAAGCAGUGCUACCACCUUGGGCAAGACCCUUCUCCUAGCUGGGAUUAGGUUUUCUCCUUUAAAAUUCCACCCCUCCAGCAAUCCUCAGUGAUGGCCUGUUGUUUUCCUAAUGCCAGUCCCAGGAAGCAAAGCUCAACAAAAUCACCUGUUGUCAGGGAUAGUGGAAGACGGAAAGAUAAAGCACUGGCUUCCACAAAGUCACAGAUGGUGGGUGGAGGUUCCCACAGAGAGUUCACGGGAAUCCCCAGGCCGUCCUCAGGGCUUUAGUUUACUCCCUCCCUAUAACUCAAGAAAAUACAGGGGUUUCCAAUAGAAAUUUAAACCUAGUAGCCUAGAAGUAUUCCUAAGGGACUGCAGAUUGAGUAAAAUGUAAAAUAUAAUAUACCCAACUUUUAUUAAUGUAAAAAUGUAUCAGUUGACCCAGUUAUCCCCUCUCUUUCCUAAGGAGUGCCUCCCCAGUUAGGCGGACACAAAGGGUUCCAUAUUAGAAACUUGAUUCACAUUCCCCUUUCCUUUCUCAGCCACUCACACAGAAGGAAAGGCUAAUUUUUAGGGCCCUGCCAGAGCCAAAUGUCACUUUGUAGUCCCUGGUCUGGGCCGCCCAGAGCAGGCUUCCCCCAGCUCCCUGGUCUGAGCAGAACUUUAGCAAGAGGGGAAACUAGGAGAAUCUAGUGAAUAUCUGAAAUUACAAUCUCUCAUAUAACCUAUAUAUAAUCAUUAGAAACACCAGCACAACUAUAAACCUUUCAAAUUAGCAAAAGGAAAACACAUACCCACAUGAACUACAAAAUAAUCCCAAUAGAAAAGAUAGAAAGGGGAAACAAACUGAAAUAAGAAACAUAUGAGUAUUAUUUAGGAGUAUUACUCCAAUAAAUGUAAAUGGAAUAAACUUAGUUAUUAAAAGAAAAGACUGCUGGACAAGAUGGAGUAAAUGCAUUUUUUGCUAUUCUUCUUGCUAAGUACACUUAAAAACCUUGGACAUUAUAUGAAAAACAAGCAAAAGAAGACACUGAAAGGUGGAGAAAAGAAGGCAGACUGGCUAGGGCCCUCAGGACCCAAGGAACCGCAUGGUGGUGUGUAACUUCCCUGCUCCAGCCAAAUGCCAUGAAAAAAAAACUGUGCCCUCAUUCCCGCUCCUCACAGCAAAGAAUGAGUGGGGAACCUAGACUUCCAUCAGUUGCAUGUCUUUUCCUCUCCUCACUGGGAUGGUUUCAGAGGAAGCUGGAUGGGGAACUGAGAAUUUCACCACCUUCAAGCAAUACUGAGCGCUCAUCCCACUCUGCAGUGUCAGUGGAAGCAAUGUGGGGAAGGGCAAUGAAGUGCUCCUACUAGCCAGGGUGGUGUCAGCAUGUCAGCAGAGGUCUCAGGGAGGCUGAGCUACCAUCUUCACCUAGCACUAAUGAUACACCCUUCUGCACCUGGGUGUCAACACUGGCAAAGUGAGGAAACUGGAUUUCCACCUUCACCAGGUACUAAUGAGGCAGCUCCUCCUCUCCUAUUCCUCACCAUCAUGGUGUCAAAAACGGCGUGAUAAAAUAGAAGACUUAGAUAAAUCCAGUCUCAUAAUAACCAAAAUGUUUAGGAUAUAAUACAAAGUUAGUUGUUAUACCAAGAAUCAGAAAAAUCUUAUAUUUUUAUAUUUUUUGGAGACAGAGUCUCACUCUGUCACCCAGGCUGGAGUGCAGUGGCAUGAUCUCUGCUCACUGCAACCUCGAUCUCCCAAGUUCAAGCGAUUCUCCUGUCUCAGCCUUCUGAGUAGCUGGGAUUACAGACGUACACUACCAUGCCUGGCUAACUUUUUGUAUUUUUAGUAGAGAUGGGGUUUCACUAUGUUGGCCAGGCUGUUCUCGAAUUCCUGACCUCAAGUGAUCCUCCUGCUUCGGCCUCCCAAAGUGCUGGGAUUACAGGCGUGAGCCACCGCACCCAGCCAGAACCAGGAAAAUAUUAACUUGAAUGAGAAAAGACAAUUAAUGAUGCCAAUAUCAAAAUGACACAGAUGUUGGAAUUAUUUGACAUUUUUUUAACUUUUUAUUUUAAAAUAAUUAUGGAUUCAUAGGAAGUUAGAAAAAAGAUAUAAAAUGAGGUCCUGUGCAACCUGCAACCCUGCACUCUCAUAUCCCUAGUGAUAGCAUUUUGCAUAACUGCAGUGUAAUAUCAAAACCAAAAAAUUAACAUUUGUACAACCCACAGUUUAUUUGGACUUCACCAAUUAUGCAUGAACCCAUUUGUGCAUGUGUGUCUGUGUGUGUGUGUAUGCAUAGUUCUAUGCAAUUUUAUCACACGCAUAGCUUUGGAUACCUACCACCACAGUCAACAGCCAAAGCUGUUCCUUUGGCCACACCUUUAUAGCCACACCUAUAAAGUGGGGCUGGUCACCAGAAAGACCAAGGCAUAUUUAGAGGUUGGAACCUUCCAACUUAUCCUGGCCUCUGAGGAAGGGAGAGGGGCUGGAUACUGAGUUAAACACCAGUGGCUCCUGACUUAAUCAUGUCUAUGUAAAAAAACUUUGAUGAAACUCUUAAAUGACAGGCUUUGGAGAGAUUCUAUGCCUGUGAACCCAUCAAGGUGCUGGGAGGGUGAAGUGCCUGAAGAGGCAUGGAAGUGCCCCUAUCCCUGUACCUCACCCCACGUAUCUCUUCAGUGUGGCUGUUCCAGAGUUGCAUCCUUCAUAAUAAA
rnacentral:lncRNA from 1 species